rnacentral:rRNA from 1 species
GACGAACGCUGGCGGCGUGCCUAAUACAUGCAAGUAGAACGCUGAAGCUUGGUGCUUGCACCGAGCGGAUGAGUUGCGAACGGGUGAGUAACGCGUAGGUAACCUGCCUGGUAGCGGGGGAUAACUAUUGGAAACGAUAGCUAAUACCGCAUAAAAUGGAUUAUCGCAUGAUAAUCCAUUGAAAGGUGCAAAUGCAUCACUACCAGAUGGACCUGCGUUGUAUUAGCUAGUUGGUGGGGUAACGGCUCACCAAGGCGACGAUACAUAGCCGACCUGAGAGGGUGAUCGGCCACACUGGGACUGAGACACGGCCCAGACUCCUACGGGAGGCAGCAGUAGGGAAUCUUCGGCAAUGGACGGAAGUCUGACCGAGCAACGCCGCGUGAGUGAAGAAGGUUUUCGGACCGUAAAGCUCUGUUGUAAGAGAAGAACGAGUGUGAGAGUGGAAAGUUCACACUGUGACGGUAUCUUACCAGAAAGGGACGGCUAACUACGUGCCAGCAGCCGCGGUAAUACGUAGGUCCCGAGCGUUGUCCGGAUUUAUUGGGCGUAAAGCGAGCGCAGGCGGUUAGAUAAGUCUGAAGUUAAAGGCUGUGGCUUAACCAUAGUACGCUUUGGAAACUGUUUAACUUGAGUGCAAGAGGGGAGAGUGGAAUUCCAUGUGUAGCGGUGAAAUGCGUAGAUAUAUGGAGGAACACCGGUGGCGAAAGCGGCUCUCUGGCUUGUAACUGACGCUGAGGCUCGAAAGCGUGGGGAGCAAACAGG